CGGAAAUUAUCAGUUAUGGGACACACACAAAAAACCAAACAGGCCAGAUGUUCCUUCCGACGUGAUUUCAACUGUCAGUGCUUUCACAGGCGUUUUCCGGGCUAAUAACACGGGGAGAGCGUCUGCGGGGCGCGGGCCUGGCGGACACAUGCAGCCCGUCCUGCUCCCCGGCCGCGCGGCUCCCACCUCGUCAGCACCCGCUUCUCCGGUACGUGUCACAGGCAGGUUCCUCCCCGCGCGCAGGCCCCAGGGAACGAGCUCCCCCGGCAACAGCACUGAUCCGAUCGCUCCGUGAAAUGGGCGAAGGGAAGGCCCUGAGCACCCAGUCUGUGUUGACGUCCAGCCCCUGGGGGGCUUGGCCUGCGCAGUGUGGCCAAGAGGGGACCAGUCUGCACAGUGGCAGGCGGAACAGGCCUCCCAGGGCAUUUGGCUGCCCACCUGGUCCCAAAGUCAUCCUUCAGCCUCCCACUUACCCCUUCUAAAGGGUAAUGUGGUGUGGUUUCUGCCCACCCCAGCUGCCUGCCUUGGGAAGCGGCAGAGGCUGUCGCCAGCUGUUGGCCCGUUCCUGUUACUGCAGAAGAGCCUGAUCUUGCAAUGAAUAAAAAAUAACAACCCUGAAGUAUCACUUACCUGUUUGUCUUUCUGUUGGCUUCGAUCUCCUGAUGGCCAGAGUCUCCAGGAAUCAUUAUCAAUAACAU